CCUACGGGGCGCAGCAGUGGGGGAUAUUGCACAAUGGGGGGAACCCUGAUGCAGCGACGCCGCGUGGGUGAAGAAGCCCUUCGGCUUGUAAAGCCCUGUCAUCAGGGACGAAAAUGACGGUACCUGAGGAGGAAGCCCCGGCUAACUACGUGCCAGCAGCCGCGGUAAUACGUAGGGGGCAAGCGUUGUCCGGAUUUACUGGGCGUAAAGGGGGCGCAGGCGGCCAUGUAAGCCGGGUGUGAAAUACUCGGGCUCAAC
rnacentral:rRNA from 1 species